rnacentral:rRNA from 1 species
GACGAACGCUGGCGGCGUGCCUAACACAUGCAAGUCGAACGGGAACGCCCGGUCUUUGGGCGGACGUGUAGGUGCCGACUGGGGAGUUACACGUGGGUUAGCUCUCCCUCCCCGUGGGGGAACCUCAUGAAACAUGGGGUCUUAUCACCUAAGAUCUCUUGCCUCAUGGUGGGGGCGGGUAAGAUUUGCUGGUUGGUGAUGGACACGCGGCCCAUCAGCUUGUUGGAGGGGUGGUGGCUUACCAAGGCUUGGCCGGGUAGCCGGCCUGAGAGGGUGAGCGGCCACAUUGCGACUGGGCUGCGGCCCAGACUCCUACGGGAGGCAGCAGUGGGGAAUAUUGCACAAUGGGCGGAAGCCUGAUGCAACAACGCAGCGUGCGGGAUGACGGCAUUCGGGUUGUAAACCGCUUUCGCCUGUGACGAAGCGUGAGUGACGGUAAUGGGUAAAGAAGCACCGGCUAACUACGUG